rnacentral:rRNA from 1 species
UGGGGAAUUUUGGACAAUGGGGGCAACCCUGAUCCAGCCAUGCCGCGUGAGUGAAGAAGGCCUUCGGGUUGUAAAGCUCUUUCGGCGGGGAAGAAAUGGCAACGGCUAAUAUCCGUUGUUGAUGACGGUACCCGCAUAAGAAGCACCGGCUAACUACGUGCCAGCAGCCGCGGUAAUACGUAGGGUGCGAGCGUUAAUCGGAAUUACUGGGCGUAAAGCGUGCGCAGGCGGUUUCGUAAGACAGACGUGAAAUCCCCGGGCUCAACCUGGGAACUGCGUUUGUGACUGCGAGGCUAGAGUACGGCAGAGGGGGGUAGAAUUCCACGUGUAGCAGUGAAAUGCGUAGAGAUGUGGAGGAAUACCGAUGGCGAAGGCAGCCCCCUGGGAUGAUACUGACGCUCAUGCACGAAAGCGUGGGGAGCAAACA